rnacentral:rRNA from 1 species
GAUGAACGCUGGCGGCGUGCCUAACACAUGCAAGUCGAACGCUUCACUUCGGCUUAGCGUGGCGGACGGGUGAGUAAUACAUAAGUAACCUCGCAUCUACAGGGGGCUAACUGUUGGAAACGUCUGCUAAGACCGCAUAUGUGUACAGAUCGCAUGUACUCUAUAUGAAUAGUGCUACGGAACUGGUAGAUGAUGGGCUUAUGCGGCAUUAGCUUGUUGGUAGGGCAACGGCCUACCAAGGCGACGAGGCGUAGCCGAACUGAGAGGGUGACCGGCAACACUGGAACUGAGACACGGACAAGACUCCUAAGAGAGGCAGCAGUAGGGAAUUUUAGGCAAUGGGGGAAAACAUGACCGAGCAACGCCGCGUGAAGGAAGAAGAAAUUCGGUAUGUAAAGAACUGUCAUAGGGGAAGAACGGUGGUUAUAGGGAACGAUACCGGAGUGACGGUACUGGAUAAAAAAGCAACGGCUAACUACGUG